AGCGUACUACAGCUGAGGCUGCUCUUAAUCAUGCUUGGUUUCAUGAGGUCCCUUUGCCUAAAUCAAAAGAUUUCAUGCCAACGUUUCCUGCACAGCAUGCACAAGACAGGCGCUUACGGAGAAUUAUGAAGAGUCCAGACCCACUAGAAGAGCAGCGACUGAAAGAGUUGAAACAAGGGGAGCUUGGACCUACUGGCCUGUUUGGUUAACAUGCACAUUCUGGGUAAUAACAUCUGAAUAGUGCCCAUCAUAUCCAGCAAAGUUUUCCAGGUGAGGCAUGCAUUGCUCGUGAAGUUGCACUCUUCUGUCUGUCAGCAGACAAUUGAUGCUGUUAUUUAGCAGGCACCCUUGAUGAUUGGGUGGAGUUAAAGAUUAUUCUUCCUUCCUCCAAAACAAGUUCUAUUGCAGGAAAAAUUUUGUUCCCCAGUCCCAGUGCAUAAAAAAGGUGCAUCUUUAUGCAGCUUGCAGCAUAAGAGACGAGUGGUGUCAAGCGGAAGGCGUUAUUUGCUUUCAUUGGUGGAGGUGUUGAGGGUAGCACUCUUACAGAAAGGAUUGUCCUUGAAUGGCCAUUCUUAGCUUUUUGCUGUGGAGACUUCUUCUGUGGUUAGUACUCACUCACCAUUCUAUCCUCUUUUUGUGUGAAUACUCUCGUUCUCGCUACUUAUUGUUCUCUUCUUCCAUAUGAACUACUACUUUCAAGGUUUAGUGAUUUAUGACUUGGCCUGUGCAAAUCCAUAAUGGUACAUUAAGAUAUAUUUGAUCUAGGACCCCAUAUAUUAGUACCCACACAGUUUUCUUUCAUCUUAUUUGAAUGUUAAAAUGCCUUCUCAAUUGUGCUUCAUACUUUGUUCAUAAUGUGUGAGUUUGUUAUUAUAUAACUAUGCCAGUGUGAACUGAAAGCUCUGUGAAGACAAAGCAAUAAUAUUUUCCCUGGAGUAGUUAUCUUUUCUUCAUGCUUUUUGAAUUUGUGAUUUUACAUGGAAUAUCUGACAUAAGUUAUGGAAAUUGGUGGGAAUUGAUGGUUAGAAAUCUUAGCUCCCAUAACAUGGACUAUGCAUCAUUUCAAUCAAGUGCCUUGACUAGUGAUUUUAGUAUUAAAAACACCCACUAAAUCAUGUUUUUAGAGAAAUGACACUCCUAGAAUCCUGUUUACCUGAUGAGAUUUAUAAAAUGAAGAACAGAUUUAGAAAGAUAAAUUUAAAAAUUAGACUGCAAAAUAACAAAGAGAUAGCAUAGGUUCAAGUUCUAGGAUCACAUUUUUAAAGGAUAUUGAUGCGAACAACAUAUCUUUGACAUCACCCUGGAGAAACAUAGAUUUUCCUUGGUACACAAUAAGAUGGACAAUAUUCUUGCGUUUAUUCUUAGGAAAAUAUGAAUUGGGUCUAGGGAAUAUAAAUAAAUCACUAUGCAGUUGUGUCACUGUGAUUAGUUCGAUCAAUGCAUUCUUGCAUAAGCUGGGUUUGUGUCUUAAAAUAUGAAAUGCAUAAAUUCCUUUUAGUUGGUAGCAUAAGUUAUCACCCAAUACCAAUUAAUGUUUAAUUGAUUCUGACUUCAUGUAAAUAUUCUUGCAUAAGUUGGGGUUGUGUCUUAAAAUAUAAACGCAUUAACCCCUUUAAUUGGUGCCUCAAGUUAUCAUCUAAUACUGUAUAUCAAUGUUUAAUUGGUUCCAACUUUAAAUUUCAUAGCAAUCUGAGCCCAAACUAAUUUGACAUAAUGUCUAAAUCAAUGAUCCCUCUCUUGUAUGACAUGUACUUCCUAGCCCAUAAUUGGGAAUGACAUUCUCACCGGCAACCAGGUAAAAAGGAAUGCCACUAGUACCUUAUUUCAAGUAAAACUUAGUCACAAAGUUGAGAAUUAUGUCACCGGGACAAAAACUAUCAAGCACGUUAGCUUUGUACAUACACAUUUUAUUACAUAUGUAAUGGGAAAAGUUGGUAGUACCAUUUUUAAGGCACUUAUGCAGUUGAAGGGCUUUAAUCCUUCAAGUUGACGAAGGGUCAAUUUAUGACAGUAUCCAAGUACCAAUCAUGCUAAAGAAAAAUAACGUACUUUCUAAUCUCUUCAAGGAAGCAUUGCCCACAUUUCUUACCUUAUAAAUG